rnacentral:misc_RNA from 1 species
GAUGAAGAACGCAGCGAAAUGCGAUAAGUAAUGUGAAUUGCAGAAUUCAGUGAAUCAUCGAAUCUUUGAACGCACAUUGCGCCCCUUGGUAUUCCGAGGGGCAUGCCUGUUCGAGCGUCAUUAUAACCCCUCAAGCUCAGCUUGGUGUUGGGGCCUGCUGCACUGGCAGCCCUUAAAAUCAGUGGCGGCGCCAUCUGGCUCUAAGCGUAGUAAUUCUUCUCGCUAUGGAGUCCUGGUGGAUGCUUGCCAUCAACCGCCAAUUUUUCUAUGGUUGACCUCGGAUCAGGUAGGGAUACCCGCUGAACUUAAGCAUAUCAAUAAGCGGAGGA